rnacentral:rRNA from 1 species
GACGAACGCUGGCGGCGUGCUUAACACAUGCAAGUCGAACGGAAAGGCCCUGCUUUUGUGGGGUGCUCGAGUGGCGAACGGGUGAGUAACACGUGAGUAACCUGCCCUUGACUUUGGGAUAACUUCAGGAAACUGGGGCUAAUACCGGAUAGGAGCUCCUGCUGCAUGGUGGGGGUUGGAAAGUUUCGGCGGUUGGGGAUGGACUCGCGGCUUAUCAGCUUGUUGGUGGGGUAGUGGCUUACCAAGGCUUUGACGGGUAGCCGGCCUGAGAGGGUGACCGGCCACAUUGGGACUGAGAUACGGCCCAGACUCCUACGGGAGGCAUCAGGGGGGAAUAUGACACAAUGGUCGGAAGCCUGAUGCAGCAACGCCGCGUGCGUGAUGACGGCCUUCGGGUUGUAAACCGCUUUCGCCUGUGACGAAGCGUGAGUGACGGUAAUGGGUAAAGAAGCACCGGCUAACUACGUG